AUACGGAGGAUCCGAGCGUUAUCCGGAUUUAUUGGGUUUAAAGGGUGCGCAGGCGGGAGAUUAAGUCGGCUGUGAAAUUUUGCAGCUCAACUGUAAAAGUGCCUUCGAAACUGGUUUCCUUGAGUGUAGAUGAAGUAGGCGGAAUUUGUGGUGUAGCGGUGAAAUGCAUAGAUAUCACGAGGAACUCCGAUUGCGCAGGCAGCUUACUAAACUACUACUGACGCUCAGGCACGAAGGCGUGGGGAUCAAACAGGAUUAGAUACCCUGGUAGUCCACGCAGUAAACGAUGACUACUAGCUGUUUGCGAUACAAUGUAAGCGGCUGAGCGAAAGCGUUAAGUAAUCCACCUGGGGAGUACGUUCGCAAGAAUGAAACUCAAAGGAAUUGACGGGG
rnacentral:rRNA from 1 species